GCCUCGUUAGUUCAAUGGUAGAAUACUGCGCUUCCAACGCAGUGAUAGGGAUUCGAAUUCUCCUACGAGGCUCCA
rnacentral:tRNA from 1 species